rnacentral:rRNA from 1 species
UACGGAGGGGGCUAGCGUUGUUCGGAAUUACUGGGCGUAAAGCGCACGUAGGCGGCUUUGUAAGUUAGAGGUGAAAGCCCAGGGCUUAACCCUGGAAUUGCCUUUAAGACUGCAUCGCUAGAAUCGUGGAGAGGUGAGUGGAAUUCCGAGUGUAGAGGUGAAAUUCGUAGAUAUUCGGAAGAACACCAGUGGCGAAGGCGACUCACUGGACACGUAUUGACGCUGAGGCGCGAAAGCUAGGGGAGCAAACAGG